AUAUCAGUCAUGCAUAGCAUAUCAAUAAGCGGAGGAAAAGAAACUAACAAGGAUUCCCUUAGUAACGGCGAGUGAAGCGGGAAGAGCUCAAAUUUGAAAUCUUCAAGGUUCUACCUUGACGAAUUGUAGUUUAAAGAAGUGUUUUCUGUUGAAGUUUUGGUAAAAGUUCUUUGGAAUAGGACAUCAUAGAGGGUGAGAAUCCCGUAUUUGACCAUUACUUUCAGCUUUGUGAUACACUUUCAAAGAGUCGGAUUGUUUUGGGAAUGCAGUCCAAAAUGGGUGGUAAAUUUCAUCUAAAGCUAAAUAUUGGCGAGAGACCGAUAGCGAACAAGUACCGUGAGGGAAAGAUGAAAAGAACUUUGAAAAGAGAGUUAAACAGUACGUGAAAUUGUCAAAAGGGAAGCGUUUGACACCAGUGUUGUUUUCUCGAAAAUCAAUUAAAAAGAGUUGGAUUUUGUGUUGUAUUGACUUUAUCAGCUUUCUUCACUCUUUUCCAGCUUUUUUUAAUGCACUUUUCGUUUAACAAGUCAACAUCAGUUUCUUUUGUUGUAAAAAGGUCAUUGGAAGGUGGCUUUCUCUUCGGAGAAAGUGUUUAUAGCCUUUGACUCAUGCAAUCGGAGAGACUGAGGUCUGCAGCGUAGAUCCUUCGGGGUUAGAUACAUUUGUGCUAAGUUAUAGCUUUUCAUAGACAACUUGUUGACUAUGUUUAGUCUUGUAGCUUACUCGCUUACGCUAUUUUACCUACGCUUAGGAUGUUGAACUCUAUCACACACA
rnacentral:rRNA from 1 species